rnacentral:rRNA from 1 species
CCUACGGGAGGCAGCAGUGGGGGAUAUUGCACAAUGGGGGGAACCCUGAUGCAGCGACGCCGCGUGGGUGAAGAAGCGCCUCGGCGCGUAAAGCCCUGUCAGCAGGGAAGAAAAUGACGGUACCUGAAGAAGAAGCACCGGCUAACUACGUGCCAGCAGCCGCGGGAAUACGUAGGGGGCAAGCGUUAUCCGGAUUUACUGGGUGUAAAGGGGGCGCAGAUGGCGAUGCAAGCCAGGAGUGAAAGCCCGGGGCCCAACCCCGGGACUGCUCGUGGAACUGCGUGGCUGGAGUGCAGGAGGGGCGGGUGGAAUUCCUGGUGUAGCGGUGAAAUGCGUAGAUAUCAGGAGGAACACCGGUGGCGAAGGCGGCCUGCUGGACUGCAACUGACGUUGAGGCCCGAAAGCGUGGGGAGCAAACAGGAUUAGAUACCCGAGUAGUC